rnacentral:rRNA from 1 species
AUUGAACGCUGGCGGCAUGCCUUACACAUGCAAGUCGAACGGCAGCACGGGUGCUUGCCCCUGGUGGCGAGUGGCGAACGGGGGAGUGUUACAUCUGAACAUGUCCUGUAGUGGGGGAUAGCCCGGCGGAAGCCGGAUUAAUACUGCAUACGAUCUACGUAAGCAGGCGGGGGAACUUCGGGCCUCGCGCUUUGGGGUUGGCCGAAGGCUGAUUAGCUAGUUGGUGGGGUAAAGGCCUACCAAGGCGACGAUCAGUAGCUGGUCUGAGAGGACGACCAGCCACACUGGAACUGAGACACGGCCCAGACUCCUACGGGAGGCAGCAGUGGGGAAUCUUGGACAAUGGGCGAAAGCCUGAUCCAGCAAUGCCGCGUGUGUGAAGAAGGCCUUCGGGUUGUAAAGCACUUUUGUCAGGAAAGAAAAACUGGGCCCUAAUACGGUCGGGGGAUGACGGUACCGGAAGAAUAAGCACCGGCUAACUACGUG